GAUGAACGCUGGCGGCGUGCCUAAUACAUGCAUGUCGAGCGAACAGACGAGGAGCUUGCUCCUCUGACGUUAGCGGCGGACGGGUGAGUAACACGUGGAUAACCUACCUAUAAGACUGGGAUAACUUCGGGAAACCGGAGCUAAUACCGGAUAAUAUAUUGAACCGCAUGGUUCAAUAGUGAAAGACGGUUUUGCUGUCACUUAUAGAUGGAUCCGCGCCGCAUUAGCUAGUUGGUAAGGUAACGGCUUACCAAGGCAACGAUGCGUAGCCGACCUGAGAGGGUGAUCGGCCACACUGGAACUGAGACACGGUCCAAACUCCUACGGGAGGCAGCAGUAGGGAAUCUUCCGCAAUGGGCGAAAGCUUGACGGAGCAACGCCGCGUGAGUGAUGAAGGUCUUCGGAUCGUAAAACUCUGUUAUUAGGGAAGAACAAAUGUGUAAGUAACUAUGCACGUCUUGACGGUACCUAAUCAGAAAGCCACGGCUAACUACGUG
rnacentral:rRNA from 1 species